AAAGCGAGCGGCGGAUGGGUGAGUAACACGUGGGGAACCUGCCCCUAAGUCUGGGAUACCAUUUGGAAACAGGUGCUAAUACCGGAUAAUAAAGCAGAUCGCAUGAUCAGCUUUUGAAAGGCGGCGUAAGCUGUCGCUAAGGGAUGGCCCCGCGGUGCAUUAGCUAGUUGGUAAGGUAACGGCUUACCAAGGCGACGAUGCAUAGCCGAGUUGAGAGACUGAUCGGCCACAUUGGGACUGAGACACGGCCCAAACUCCUACGGGAGGCAGCAGUAGGGAAUCUUCCACAAUGGACGCAAGUCUGAUGGAGCAACGCCGCGUGAGUGAAGAAGGUUUUCGGAUCGUAAAGCUCUGUUGUUGGUGAAGAAGGAUAGAGGUAGUAACUGGCCUUUAUUUGACGGUAAUCAACCAGAAAGUCACGGCUAACUACGUGCCAGCAGCCGCGGUAAUACGUAGGUGGCAAGCGUUGUCCGGAUUUAUUGGGCGUAAAGCGAGCGCAGGCGGAAAAAUAAGUCUAAUGUGAAAGCCCUCGGCUUAACCGAGGAACUGCAUCGGAAACUGUUUUUCUUGAGUGCAGAAGAGGAGAGUGGAACUCCAUGUGUAGCGGUGGGAUGCGUAGAUAUAUGGAAGAACACCAGUGGCGAAGGCGGCUCUCUGGUUCUGCAACUGACGCUGAGGCUCGAAAGCAUGGGUAGCGAACAGGAUUAGAUACCCUGGUAGUCCAUGCCUUAAAACGAUGAGUGCUAAGUGUUGGGAGGUUUCC
rnacentral:rRNA from 1 species